rnacentral:rRNA from 1 species
GAGACGNGNGGUAACCUGCCGUAGUACAGGGGGAUAACACUUAGAAAUAGGUGCUAAUACCGCAUAAGCGCACAGUAUCGCAUGAUACAGUGUGAAAAACUCCGGUGGUACAGGAUGGACCCGCGUCUGAUUAGCUGGUUGGCGGGGUAACGGCCCACCAAGGCGACGAUCAGUAGCCGGCCUGAGAGGGUGAACGGCCACAUUGGGACUGAGACACGGCCCAAACUCCUACGGAAGGCAGCAG